UUUGGCUCCAGCCACCCCAAUGGCAUUUCCUCUUAAGCUGUUGGGAAAGACAGGAAGCCUAAGGCAUGGGUACAGGCUGAGAGGUGAUACUGACCCCUCUGCGGGUGGGCUUGGGGCUGCUUGGUAGAGGAAACAAGGACUUCAGCAGUCACAGGAGGCCAGGGCUGUGCCUUCCUCACUCCAGGGCAACAGGGCAGAGCUGGCUCUGGGAAGCAGGGCACACAGGGGCAUGGCUGGCCUAGCCAGGAGGGUUGUUGGAGCCUUCCUCCUCUUCCAUUUCAAACAGAAAAGCGGGGCUGAGACAGGAGAGGCAGCCCUCCAUCUGGGCAGGUCCCCAGUGCUCCCAGCAAGGGCAGGAAUUCUGAGGACAUGCCUGAGCCUCAGAGCUGUAACCUCACCCCAGGACUUUGGAUCUGCCCAGAGAACAAGAUCAGCCCCCCUGGGACCCAUAAACCAGGCCUCUAGACGUGUUCAGCCUGGCAAGGCCAACCCGGAGAGGAGGGCAAAUGAUAGCGACUCCCAGGGAAAGGCAUGAAGUGGGGCUGGGAAACUGGUAUACUUGCACUGAAAUGAAGAUCACCAGGAUGAUUUGUGAGUUGUCUGUAAACUUUGUCCCCAUAUCUAUUCAUUGAGAAUUCAUUGAUUUCUUUGGGCUAAAGACCAUAGAUGGAGACUGGAAUACUUACUCGAGAAUCUCCAAGGUUCUGUUCACAGCCAAGGCUUCCCCUAGCACCUGGGCGCCUGAAGCACCAAUUGAGGCCACCUGGAGACUGGGGCGGAGAGGGUGCCGUCAGUGUGAGCCGGCUGGGCCCACCUCCCUCCGCAUACUCCGUUCCCUUUCACCACCCCUUGACUCAGGAUGGAAAGUGGAGAAACAGCACUGAGAAUGGUUGGCCAGCGCUGUGUCUAGGCACUCCAUCUCCUACCUACACUGUCUGUUGCCUAAGACAGAGAUCUGGAUGCUAAGGAGAUGAGAAAUAGAGGCUGUCCCUGGAAGGGCUCGGGGAGAAUGCUCCCUGUACCUCCUCAUUACUACUCUCUAGGUGUUUGAGCCCCCAACUGCUAAUAUCAUAUUUCCUAUAUUAGGAAAAUCAAACACACCUUCCUUGACUUGUAAACAAAAAUAACGUCCAGGCCAGGUGUGGUGGCUCACACCUGUAAUCCCAGCACUUUGGGAGGCUGAGGUGGGCAGAUCACCUGAAGUCAGGAGUUUGAGACCAGCCUGGCCAAUAUGGUGAAACCCCGUCUCUACUAAAAAUACAAAAAUUAGGCUGGGUGUGGUGGUGCACGCCUGUUAUCCCAACUACUGUAUGGGAGGCUGAGGCUUGAGAAUCACUUGAACCCAGGAGGUGGAGGUUACAGUUAGCUGAGAUUAUGUCACUGCACUCCAGCCUGGGUGGCAGAGCAAGACUCUUGUCUCGAGGAAAAAAAAAAAAAAAAAGACCUCUAACGUGAAAGGAUGGCGAAGGGACCGGUUUCCUGACUGCUGCGCACAUCUAGGACUUACUAGAGAGCAGUGAGGGCUGUGUUGACCUUCAGUGCACGGGCCACCGCACACGCUCCGUCAUCCCCGAUGGCGUUCUCCUGUAAACUAGACACAGAGUAUGACCCCUUUGGGUGCACGGGGCACAGGGAGCAUUCUAGCAAGGCCCUGCCGCACUUGGACCUGCCAGGUUUAACCGACUACACACACCAUAGACACUCCCAGGGUUUCCUGGGGAUAACUGCCCUUCCUCCACAGGCCCUGCAGCCCGCCGCCUCAUACUAAGCACACAGAGGCGUCUGGGGCCUGCAUGAGUCUGAACCGCCAGAGGCAAGCAGGAAAUGGGACAUAUAGAGUGACUGUCAGCAGGGGCUUGGGACCCAAAAGGGGAUGCUUUUCACAGCCAACCAGAAAAUGAACUUAAAGCCCUCAAUCCCUGAGCCAUUCUUGUUUGUCUUGUUUUCUCUUGAGACAGGGUCUCACUCUGCCACCCAGGCUGGAAUGCAGUGGUGAGAUCACGGCUCACUGCAGCCUCAACCUCCCAGGCUCAAGCGAUCCUCCCACCUCAGCCUCCCGAGGAGACUAAAGUACUUAACUAGAGACGGGGACUACAGGCACAUGCCCCCAUGCCCGGCUAAUGUUUUUAUUCUUUUAUAGAGAUGGGGUCUCACUAUGUUGCUCAGGCUGGUCCUGAACUCCUGGGCUCAAGCAGUCCUCCCACCUUGGCAUCCCAAAUUGCUGGCAUUACAGGCAGGAGCCACCACGCCCAACCUCCUUGGCCAUUCUUGCUAAUUAGGGCUUUGUGUCAUUUUUUCCCCUUCUAAGUUGGAGGGAACUAGCAGGCCCUGGUGCAGUGAGUGACUGAGUUUAGCUCAAGCGCACACUGGUAUGUUCAAGGCCAAGAGCUGUUUGCAUUCAUUAUUUUAACAGACAUUUGAGUGUGGCCGGGCGCAGUGGCUCACACCUUUAAUCCCAGCACUUUGGGAGGCUGAGGUGGGUGGAUCACUUGAGGUCAGGAGUUCGAGACCAGCCUGGCCAACAUGGUGAAACCCCGUCUCCACUAAAAAUACGAAAAUUAGGCUGGGUGGGUGUAUUUUUAGUAGAGACAGGGUUCUCUGUCUCUACUAAAUUAGCUGGGAGUGGUGGAGGGCACCUGUAGUCCCAGCUACUGGGGAGGCUGAUGCAGGAGAAUCACUUGAACCCAGGAGGUGGAGGUUGCAGUAAGCCGAGAUCCCGCCACUGCACUCCAGCCUGGGCGACAGAGUUAGACUCCGUCUCAAAAAAUUAAAAUG
rnacentral:lncRNA from 1 species